rnacentral:lncRNA from 1 species
AAGAAACGGGGCCGCCAUUGUUCGCUCGUCAAGUGACGUCGCUUCCUGCCGUCUUUUUCAAUCCUAUAUGCAACGAAGCCGCCCGCAGCUUCAGCGUUUGGCGCGGAGAUGCAUCGGAAGGAAACGACCGUUCAUCUUUUGGCCGGCCUUGAUCGCGAGCCUGUAAAUGGGACGGCAGUAGCUGCAAUCCACCAACACGGGUGUGUUCGCACUAGCGAAUGGUUUAGCCAGGACGGCCAAAUCGAGAACGAUACUAUAUUUCGGUAGUGUUAUUGUCGCGUGGAAUAUCUGUGGCGAUGAUGAAAACAUCGGUCAAUGCUUACUUUAGUCAGUAGUUUCAUCGGUGUUGUUCUAAUGUAAGCGUAUAAUCACUUCUAACCGUAAAAUACGUCUAAGCACACUUACAAAAUGCCACUGCACUUGCUCCUCAUUUCCUAAGUCCCUAACAAGCCAUAUGGAUCAUUUAUUUGAAAUGUUCAGCAGUAAAUUAUAUCAUACUGUGUUCACUGGAGCUCUGGAAAACGAUUGCAGGGGAAAAGCACGGUCUUCAUUAAGCAUGUACAGUGUGUCAGGGAUGUCUCGGUGAAUCUUUUUACCUCAACAAUCAUGGAAAGAUAUUUUCCGUGUUGACUGAGGCACAUUUAACUGUAUGCUUAUUUAGUACUCAAUAAUUAAGCUCAUUUUCAGUGAUGCCAACCUUUCACAGUACUGCAGAACGACCAGUUUGCCGAAAUAAUAGAAUAAAUGCAACCAUAUUUUCUCUAAAAGCAAACUGUUGUCUUGCAUAGCAACUUAAGUAAGCUUUUUUUUUUCAUCACAGUGGCCGACUUAUGAUGUUAGUUGAAAACUAGGUCGCUGAAAGGUGUCCGGCAUCGAAGCGCAUGAUUAUUGUUCUUUGUAUCCAUUGUAGCGUUCCUUUCCAUGCAAUUCACAAUGCACACAUGGUAAAGAGAUAAGAGACAGGCAGAUGGUGGAAUGUGCAGCGUACACACUCCAAGGAAAUCAGCGACACACAGUGUGUCAAAGAGGACAGCGCUUUUUUACUCUCUGUCUCACUUAUCUUUUUUUGUGUGUGUGCGCGCUAUGAACACUAUCAAAAUGAACUGUUACCAACUUUCCCAAGCUUCAGCUCUCGCGCUUGGUGUUUUUAUCCACAAAUGGUCCAUAAGUCAUUGCUGGUGAGAUUUGCGAGUAUGAAAACAGGAGGAUUACUUGAUUCCAGAACAAUUUGAUUUGUUCUACACAUGGUACUGAACUUGCCAGUGUUGCAUCAAACGUGGAAUAGGGAAGAAGCUAUUAUGGUGUUUCUUAUGGUGGCCCGGUGAAUUCAGCUUGUGCAGAUGCUUCAAGCUUGUAUUCUGUUGACAAAAAUUGAGCUGAUGCCAUAGAAGGAUGGUUGUAAAAGUGUAAUGAAAGCCUCCUGUAGACAUACUGAGUUGUGCUGCUGUGGACACUUAUUGGUUAGCCCUGUAGGGUGAUUCUGUUAGGCUUAUGGGUGCUUUAACACUGUAGUGCCUACAGGAUGGGCAGCAUUAGAAAACACAUUAAAACGACUGUAAGGAUGCAUGUCGUACUAUGGUACCAUCAAUGGCCCAUGAAGUGCCCACCUUUGCUUACACUCCGUGGCAGUCUGGUCUGGUUCACUUAACCUGACUGCCAUCUAUGCAUGAGGAGGAGGAGUGAGGCAAAGAAAGGGGCCUUCAAUUAAUUUUUCUUGCACAGGUGACUCAUACAUUGUAUUUUUCUUAUCUUGCAGGCUUUCUUUACUCAAAGUGGAGCUUCCUGUGGCCAGAAUAUCAGCAUUUUAUUCCUAUUUAUACCAAACAAGUUGUUCACAGUGGCACUCUUUAUAUUAUACUCUCGUGGCACUAAGCUCACUCAUUUUAAUGCAGAUGUUGCUGGGCCUGCAGAGAGAGUGUAAGCAGACUGCUGUGUGGCUGAUCAGUGCUGGGGCGCGAUAACGGAAGUCUAUUCCAAACGAAAAGUAUUCCAAACUCCGCACGUCAAAAUGACGCGCCUGAUUAUGCGUAUGGGGGCGGGAACCUGUGACGUUUUUUUUUUUUCAGUCUGCCCAAUCAGAAACCUCCAUCGUUGCCGGAAGCAUGUUUUACUUGUUUUUUACUUGCAAAGGGACCGCAUAGAAACUAAAAUUUAGAUAUAAACGCCUAAUAAAAGAACAAUUGCAUGUCGCUGAGAGCAAAACUGUUUCCUAAUCUUUUGACGCAAAAUAAGUUGAAGCGCGCUUGAAAUUAAGCGCAAAUAUUUCAAUUUUUCCAGUCAUAGCCACACAUACGCCAAUUCUGCAUCCAAUCCAUUUAGCUACGCACACGUAGGAUGGCGGCUACAUGAAAAGAGCUGGUCGGGCUGUGGGCCGCACUUGGUGUAUUUCUGCCCGUAACGCUGCCCGAUUAGAUGAAAUCUCAGUGUCCGACAUGUAAUUUCGCCCGAGAAGAAUUUUGGAGGCUGUGAACAUCAUGGAGACUGUGAAAGCCUAGUGCUUGGUGAGUAAACACAUAAUUCUUUCUUGUGCUUAAUGACUAUGCAGUAGCAUGUGAACAUCUGCGGUGAUUGCAUGGUGUUCACUUUUGCUUUUAUUCACAUAGGAUACGGAAGAAUCGAUGAAGGUUGGAAGGCAGUACAUCUCAACAGAUAGCUGGACACCUCCAGUGACGAAGAGCGUCCUCCUGCUGUUCCCGUGCCCUCUGCCCCACCAGCAGCGGCCCACGCGUCGAUUGGCACCGAGCCCGGCACAAGUGACACUGCACCAGCCCCGCAGGCCACCUCGGCAACAGCCACUGGAAGAUGCGGCCUGCAGGGGAGCCGACGAGUAUGCGCAGGGGAGCCGAGGCUGCUAACGCGGAGGCCGCCAACUUGCACCAGCUGCUG